rnacentral:lncRNA from 1 species
GCGCGCGCCGCCUCACAGAAAGAGCGGGCAACGCUGUGAGGGGCGAGUGUGAGAUCCGUGUGUGUGAGGGGUCCAUGUGCCUGUGACAUCCAUGUGUGUGUGAAGGAUCCGUGUGUGUGUGAGAUCCGAGUGUGUGAGGGAUCCGUGUGUGUGUGUGUGGGAUCCGUGUGUGUGUGAGGGACCCGUGUGUGUAUGAGACCCGUGUGCCUGUGAUAUUCAUAUGGUGUGAUGGAUCUGUGUGUGAGGGAUCCGUGUGUGUGAGGGAUCCCUGUGAGAUCCCUGUGUGUGAGAGAGAUUCGUGUAUCUCUGUGGUCUGUGUCUGUGAGAUCCGUGUAUGUGUGAGAUCCGUGUACGUGUGAUCUCUGUGUGUGAGAUCCGUGUGCCUGUGUCCCAUGUCGAGUGAUGUGUGCGAGGCUGAGGAGGCUGCGGGGCUGUGGGAGCCGGCACGAGCCGAGUGUGCGAGAGCCCUGACGGGGGCCCGGGGACGGUGCUGGCGCGGCUGAGGCGCUUGGCCGUGAGGGGCAGCCGGGCUGUGGCGGCGAGAGAAGCUGUGAGAGAGGACGGUGCGAUCGUAGCUGUGCGCUGAGGCAGCGGCCCCGCAGGUGUGAGAGGAGCGGGGGUCUCGCUGCCCGCGAGGGGAGGUGCCGUGUGCCCUUCCCUGGGGUUAAACCGGAGCAGCCUCUCCGCAGUCCCUCCCGCAGCCCGCCCCGCUCAGAGCCAGGGAAGAACUGCUCGUGCUGAAGGGGAGACAAAACUCUAAUGAGCUACAAUGAGUUGACUAAGGGCCAGCUCCAUGCCUGUUUGGAGGAAAGAUAUUUUGAAAACACUUUAUCAAAAGGUAAGAUUUUUUAAAUCCAUAAUGCUGAAUCUUCAAUGGAAGCAUCGUACUGAUUGCCUGAGGUGAAGUGACUCUGAGAGUUGAUGCAAUUCACAUCUUAAUUAACUCUUGAGCCAACAGACAGAAAAUUGUGUCCCUUUUGAAUGUUGUAAAAUGUAAAGAUGUAGCUGUUCUUAGUUGUCUUCUAGGAUUAACUUUUUUUCAUGCCAGUUUACUUGUUACCUAGGUAGGAGUUUUCCUGGGGAAAAGCACAGUAGUU